rnacentral:rRNA from 1 species
AAGCGGUGGAGCAUGUGGUUUAAUUCGAAGCAACGCGAAGAACCUUACCAGGUCUUGACAUCCUUUGACCACUCUAGAGAUAGAGCUUCCCCUUCGGGGGCAAAGUGACAGGUGGUGCAUGGUUGUCGUCAGCUCGUGUCGUGAGAUGUUGGGUUAAGUCCCGCAACGAGCGCAACCCUUAUUGUUAGUUGCCAUCAUUCAGUUGGGCACUCUAGCAAGACUGCCGGUGACAAACCGGAGGAAGGUGGGGAUGACGUCAAAUCAUCAUGCCCCUUAUGACCUGGGCUACACACGUGCUACAAUGGGAAGUACAACGAGUUGCGAAGUCGCGAGGCUAAGCUAAUCUCUUAAAGCUUCUCUCAGUUCGGAUUGCAGGCUGCAACUCGCCUGCAUGAAGCCGGAAUCGCUAGUAAUCGCGGAUCAGCACGCCGCGGUGAAUACGUUCCCGGGCCUUGUACACACCGCC